rnacentral:rRNA from 1 species
UGUAUCCUACGGGACGCAGCAGUGAGGAAUAUUGGUCGAUGGACGCAAGUCUGAACCAGCCAUGCCGUGUGCAGGAAGACGGCUCUAUGAGUUGUAAACUGCUCUUGUACGAGGGUAAAUCCCGAUACGUGUAUCGGGUUGAAAGUAUCGUACGAAUAAGGAUCGGCUAACUCCGUGCCAGCAGCCGCGGUAAUACGGAGGAUUCAAGCGUUAUCCGGAUUUAUUGGGUUUAAAGGGUGCGUAGGCGGUUCGAUAAGUUAGAGGUGAAAUCCCGGGGCUCAACUCCGGCACUGCCUCUGAUACUU